rnacentral:rRNA from 1 species
AAACUUUUAACAACGGAUCUCUUGGUUCUGGCAUUCGAUGAAGAACGCAGCGAAAUGCGAUAAGUAAUGUGAAUUGCAGAAUUCAGUGAAUCAUCGAAUCUUUGAACGCACAUUGCGCCCGCCAGCAUUCUGGCGGGCAUGCCUGUUCGAGCGUCAUUU